GAUGAACGCUGGCGGCGUGCCUAAUACAUGCAGGUCGAGCGAACAGACGAGGAGCUUGCUUCUCUGACGUUAGCGGCGGACGGGUGAGUAACACGUGGAUAACCUACCUAUAAGACUGGGAUAACUUCGGGAAACCGGAGCUAAUACCGGAUAAUAUAUUGAACCGCAUGGUUCAAUAGUGAAAGACGGUUUUGCUGUCACUUAUAGAUGGAUCCGCGCUGCAUUAGCUAGUUGGUAAGGUAACGGCUUACCAAGGCGACGAUGCGUAGCCGACCUGAGAGGGUGAUCGGCCACACUGGAACUGAGACACGGUCCAGACUCCUACGGGAGGCAGCAGUAGGGAAUCUUCCGCAAUGGGCGAAAGCCUGACGGAGCAACGCCGCGUGAGUGAUGAAGGUCUUCGGAUCGUAAAACUCUGUUAUUAGGGAAGAACAAAUGUGUAAGUAACUAUGCACGUCUUGACGGUACCUAAUCAGAAAGCCACGGCUAACUACGUG
rnacentral:rRNA from 1 species